rnacentral:rRNA from 1 species
GAUGAACGCUGGCGGCGUGCCUAAUACAUGCAAGUCGAGCGAACGGACGAGAAGCUUGCUUCUCUGAUGUUAGCGGCGGACGGGUGAGUAACACGUGGAUAACCUACCUAUCAGACUGGGAUAACUUCGGGAAACCGGAGCUAAUACCGGAUAAUAUUUUGAACCGCAUGGUUCAAAAGUAAAAGACGGUCUUGCUGUCACUUAUAGAUGGAUCCGCGCUGCAUUAGCUAGUUGGUAAGGUAACGGCUUACCAAGGCAACGAUGCCUAGCCGACCGGAGAGGGUGAUAGGCCACACUGGAACUGGGACACGGUCCAGACUCCUACGGGAGGCAGCAGUAGGGAAUGUUCCGCAAUGGGCGAAAGCCUGACGGAGCAACGCCGCGUGAGUGAUGAAGGUGUUCGGAUCGUAAAACUCUGUUAUUAGUGAAGAACAGAUGUGUAAGUAACUGUGCACAGCUUGACGGUACCUAAUCAGAAAGCCACGGCUAACUACGUG